rnacentral:rRNA from 1 species
CCUACGGGCGGCAGCAGUGAGGAAUAUUGGUCAAUGGCCGCAGGGCUGAACCAGCCAAGUCGCGUGAGGGAUGACGGUCCUAUGGAUUGUACACUUCUUUUGUCAAGGGACAAAAUCAGGCUCGAGAGCCUGACCGAGGGUACUUGAAGAAAAAGCAUCGGCUAACUCCGUGCCAGCAGCCGCGGUAAUACGGAGGAUGCGAGCGUUAUCCGGAUUUAUUGGGUUUAAAGGGUGCGUAGGCGGACUGUUAAGUCAGCGGUAAAAGCCCGGGGCUCAACCCCGGCGAGCCGUUGAAACUGGCAGUCUUGAGUACAGUAGAGGUGGGCGGAAUUCGUGGUGUAGCGGUGAAAUGCUUAGAUAUCACGAAGAACUCCGAUUGCGAAGGCAGCUCACUGGACUGCAACUGACACUGAGGCUCGAAAGUGUGGGUAUCAAACAGGAUUAGAUACCCCAGUAGUC